rnacentral:rRNA from 1 species
AACGGCGGCCGUAACUAUAACGGUCCUAAGGUAGCGAAAUUCCUUGUCGGGUAAGUUCCGACCCGCACGAAAGGUGUAACGAUCUGCGUACUGUCUCGGAGAGAGACUCGGCGAAAUAGACUUGUCUGUGAAGAUGCGGACUACCUGCACCUGGACAAAAAGACCCUAUGAAGCUUUACUGUAGCUUGAUAUUGGCUCCGGGCUUUGUUUGCGCAGGAUAGGUGGGAGGCGUUGAAAAUUUUCUUGCGGGAAAGUUGGAGCCGUUGGUGAGAUACCACUCUAACAAUGCUAGGAUUCUAACCCUACACCGUUAUCCGGUUAGGGGACAGUUUCAGGUGGUCAGUUUGACUGGGGCGGUCGCCUCCUAAAAGGUAACGGAGGCGUGCAAAGGUUUCCUCAGACUGGUCGGAAAUCAGUCGUAGAGUGUAAAGGCAUAAGGAAGCUUGAUUGUGAGACCUACAAGUCGAACAAAGACGAAAGUCGGCCUUAGUGAUCCGACGGUUCCGAGUGGAAGGGCCGUCGCUCAACGGAUAAAAGUUACUCUAGGGAUAACAGGCUGAUCUCCCCCAAGAGUUCACAUCGACGGGGAGGUUUGGCACCUCGAUGUCGGCUCAUCGCAUCCUGGGGCGGUAGUACGUCCCAAGGGUUGGGCUGUUCGCCCAUGAAAGCGGUACGCGAGCUGGGUUCAGAACGUCGUGAGACAGUUCGGUCCAUAUCCGGUGCAGGCGUUAGAGUAUUGCGAAGACUCCUCCUUAGUACGAGAGGACCGGGGGGAAUGCACCGCUGGUGUACCAGUUAUCGUGCCAACGGUAAACGCUGGGUAGCCAAGUGCAGUUUGGAUAACUGCUGAAAGCAUCUAAGUAGGAAGCCAGCUUCAAGAUGAGUACUCUCACCGCUUUAAGCGGGUAAGAUCACGGCAAGAACAGCCGUUUGAUAGGCAUCAAGUGUAAGUGCAGCAAUGUAUUCAGCUGAGAUGUACUAAUAGAUCGAGGGCUUAUUUAA